AGUGAACGCUGGCGGUAGGCCUAACACAUGCAAGUCUAACGGCAGCACAGUAAUAUCUUUCUCUUACGUGUUUCGAGUGGCUUACUGUUGAUUAAUACAUCGGAAUCUACUUUUUCUUGUUGGAUAACGUAGGUAAACUUACUCUAAUACCUCAUACUACCUACCGUUUAAAUCAUGUGAUCUUCUUACCUUUCGCGUUUUAAUUCGCCGAUGUCGGAUUAGCUAGUUGGCGGGGUAAAGGCCCACCAAGGCGACGAUCCGUAGAUGGUCUGAGAGGAUGAUCAGCCACACUGGAACUGAGAAACGGUACAGACUACUACGGGAGGCAGAAGUGGGGAAUAUUGGACAAUGGGCGAAAGAAUGAUACAGCAAUACCGAGUGGGUGAAGAAGGAAUUCGGGUUGUAAAGAACUUUUGUUGGGAAAGAAAAGAAGCAGGUUAAUACCAAGAUGGUAUGACGGUACCAAAAGAAUAAGCACCGGCUAACUUCGUG
rnacentral:rRNA from 1 species